CACAUGCAAGUCGAACGCUGAAGCCAGAAGCUUGCUUCUGGUGGAUGAGUGGCGAACGGGUGAGUAACACGUGAGUAACCUGCCCCCGAUUUCGGGAUAAGCCCGGGAAACUGGGUCUAAUACCGGAUACGACCAAUCCUCGCAUGAGGGUUGGUGGAAAGUUUUUCGAUCGGGGAUGGGCUCGCGGCCUAUCAGCUUGUUGGUGGGGUAAUGGCCUACCAAGGCGACGACGGGUAGCCGGCCUGAGAGGGCGACCGGCCACACUGGGACUGAGACACGGCCCAGACUCCUACGGGAGGCAGCAGUGGGGAAUAUUGCACAAUGGGGGAAACCCUGAUGCAGCGACGCAGCGUGCGGGAUGACGGCCUUCGGGUUGUAAACCGCUUUCAGCAGGGAAGAAGCCGUAAGGUGACGGUACCUGCAGAAGAAGUACCGGCUAACUACGUGCCAGCAGCCGCGGUAAUACGUAGGGUACGAGCGUUGUCCGGAAUUAUUGGGCGUAAAGAGCUCGUAGGUGGUUGGUCACGUCUGCUGUGGAAACGCAACGCUUAACGUUGCGCGUGCAGUGGGUACGGGCUGACUAGAGUGCAGUAGGGGAGUCUGGAAUUCCUGGUGUAGCGGUGAAAUGCGCAGAUAUCAGGAGGAACACCGGUGGCGAAGGCGGGACUCUGGGCUGUAACUG
rnacentral:rRNA from 1 species